UCACUUGGCCUCCCGGUUGCAGCCUGAUCUCAUCUGAUCUCUGAGGCUGAGCAGGGCCAGGCCUGGUUAGUACUUAGAUGGAAAACCACUGGAAAUAUCAGGUGCCACAGUGGA
rnacentral:rRNA from 1 species